CAGGCUGCAACUCGCCUGCAUGAAGUUGGAAUUGCUAGUAAUCGCGAAUCAGAAUGUCGCGGUGAAUACGUUCCCGGGCCUUGUACACACCGCCCGUCACACCAUGAGAGUCGAUAACACCCGAAGCCUGUGAGCUAACCGUAAGGAGGCAGCAGUCGAAGGUGGGGUUGAUGAUUGGGGUGAAGUCGUAACAAGGUACC
rnacentral:rRNA from 1 species